GGGAAGAAUAACCCCCUCGUGAGGGGGGAUGCCGGUACCGCACGAAUAAGGAUCGGCUAACUCCGUGCCAGCAGCCGCGGUAAUACGGAGGAUCCGAGCGUUAUCCGGAUUUACUGGGUUUAAAGGGUGCGUAGGCGGGUCGUUAAGUCGGCGGUGAAAUGCGGAGGCUCAACUUCGAUCUGCCGUCGAAACAGGCGACCUUGAAUUCGGUCGAGGCUGGCGGAAUGCGUGGUGUAGCGGUGAAAUGCUUAGAUAUCACGCGGAACGCCGAUUGCGAAGGCAGCUGGCCGGGCCGAUAUUGACGCUGAGGCACGAAAGCGUGGGGAUCAAACAGGAUUAGAUACCCUGGUAGUCCACGCCGUAAACGAUGAUUACUGGAUGUUGGCGAUACACCGUCAGCGUCUGAGCGAAAGCAUUAAGUAAUCCACCUGGGGAGUACGGUCGCAAGAUUGAAACUCAAAGGAAUUGACGGGGGCCCGCACAAGCGGAGGAACAUGUGGUUUAAUUCGAUGAUACGCGAGGAACCUUACCUGGGCUCGAACGCAGGGGGAAUCACGGUGAAAGCCGUGAGCCAGCAAUGGCCGCCUGCGAGGUGCUGCAUGGUUGUCGUCAGCUCGUGCCGUGAGGUGUCGGGUUAAGUCCCAUAACGAGCGCAACCCCUACUGCUAGUUGCCAGCGGAUCAUGCCGGGGACUCUAGCGGAACUGCCAGCGUAAGCUGUGAGGAAGGUGGGGAUGACGUCAAAUCAGCACGGCCCUUACGUCCAGGGCUACACACGUGUUACAAUGGCCAGUACAGAGGGCAGCCACCCCGCGAGGGGGCGCGAAUCCCAAAAGCUGGUCCCAGUUCGGAUCGGAGUCUGUAACCCGACUCCGUGAAGCUGGAUUCGCUAGUAAUCGCGCAUCAGCCACGGCGCGGUGAAUACGUUCCCGGGCCUUGUACACACCGCCCGU
rnacentral:rRNA from 1 species